UACGUAGGGGGCGAGCGUUGUCCGAAGUUACUGGGCGUAAAGCGCACGUAGGCGGCUUUGUAAGUUAGAGGUGAAAGCCCGGGGCUCAACCCCGGAAUUGCCUUUAAGACUGCACCGCUUGAAUCCAGGAGAGGUGAGUGGAAUUCCGAGUGUAGAGGUGAAAUUCGUAGAUAUUCGGAAGAAACACCAGUGGCGAAGGGCGGCUCACUGGACUGGUAUUGACGCUGAGGUGGCGAAAG
rnacentral:rRNA from 1 species